GUUAUUGAGCUGACGUUAAACAGAAGAGGAAUGUUCCAUUUCCGAUCCAUGAAAGCAGUGUCAUGUUAAGCUUGGCAAGAAGUGCACUGGCCAGCAUUUGUACCAUGCCAAGAACCUGGAUGUGAUGUUAUAAAGUAUUUAGGGAUCCCACAGGGAAGAGGCAAGACUGCGACAGAGACAAGAUAACUGUAAGUGGAAAAUAAAGACUGUGCAACACCUAAAGGUAUCAAAGAAACUUCAAACAGAUGGACUGUGAUCUUUUGAUGUUUUUAGAAAUUAUUGCAAGAGAAGAGAUUUGGUUUUCAAGAUUCACCUCAUUCUGGACAAUGCACCAAGCCAUCCUUCCACCUUGAGCUUUCUGAAAACAUCCAAGUGCUAUUCUCUCUCAUUCAACCCAUGGACCAGGGUGCAAUAGCAGCAUUUAAAGUUUAUUAUUUAAGGUGGACAUUCAGGAAACCGAUUGCAGCUUCUGAAGGGGAUAAUGACGACAGUGUGUUCUUCAAUUUUGAAAGAGCUUUAACAUUAAGAAUGCUAUUGACAUUAUUGUGGAGGCCUGGGGUGAUAUCGGUACGGACUGCUUACAUGCAGUUUGGUGGAAGCUUCUUCCAGAUUUUCUUCAUGAUUUUAAAGGUGUUGAACUGUCAGAAGAGCUUCCAGCAAUCAGGGAUCAUUGUGUUGCUCUUGCAAAGCAAGUUGGAUUUGAAGUGGAGACUGAGGAUGUCGAGGGACUGCACGAGUCCCAUUGUGAAGACCUCUCCACAGCUGAUCUACAACAGCUUGUGGCUGCGGGGGAAACUGAACCUCUAGAUGAAGACAACAAAAUCCAGGAUGCACCACCACAAGAACUUUCUACUUAUCUUUUGUCUUCUAUCCUGAGGGAAGUUGAGAAGCAGUUGCAACUCUUAGAAGACAAUGACUACAAUGUAGAAUGCAACAGGAUAGCAGUUUGAGGGAUAAAACUUUAUCUGGCAUCCUAUGAACAGCUUCUUCAUGAAAGACAAAAGAUGGAAAAGCAGCAAAAACUAGAAGCCUUUUUUAAGCCAACUUCCAAGAAACACUCUGAGGACAAUGAACCACAGCUAUCCACUUUUGGACUAAACAUAUCUUUUCAUCAUAACCCUGCACCCAGAACUGCACCUGAAAGUAAUGAUGAUGCUGAUGAUGACCCUCAGCCCCGUCUUCAUUCAGUACUGUAACUCAGCAAACUCAGAAAUUCCUUAAAGUGUUAAAUUUAGUGUAUUAUUUCAUUAAAAUAUAUGAUUUUAACAUUUACUUAGAUUGUACUAUCAUUUGUGUUAGACUAUAUAUUAUUUUUGUUUUGAUUUUUACUGAUAUUUCUGGUGGUUUGCCCCUAACCCUGUUUUUCCCACAGGCCCAGUUAUUUCUGUGACACGAGCUCGAACGAGAAUGUAACUAUCAUGUUAUAGCAGAACAGACUGUAUAUCAACGUGCAGCAUUUUCCAAAUGCCAAUGAUGAUCAUUUGUGCCAAAUAUUGCAAAAUGACAAUCUAUAUCAAAGUGGACUAUGAUCAUAUUUAGUGCAUAACCCUGUCAAUAAUGUAACUGAAGAUACUUUUGGAGGAAUAUUUCUGAUGUUCAUUAUUUAUAAUAAAUCGUUUAC